rnacentral:rRNA from 1 species
UGUAAUAUUGAUAGAGCUGUGAUGGACUAAUAAUAGACUGUUAUGGUUUUGUUAGUGUUAUACAAAAUUGAAGUGUUGGUCUAUAGUCUGCAGUGUAUGUAGUUUACUUACUCGUCCCGUCUUGAAACACGGACCAAGGAGUUUUAUAUGAUCGCGAGUCAAAGGGCUGUACGAAACCCCACGGCGUAAUUAAUGUAAAGGUUUGCUUUAGUAAACUAAGAUGUGACCUCGUGGAAACACAGAGUGCAACAUCGACCCGCCUUAAGUUGUUCGCAACUGGGCGGAGUUUGAGCGAUCAUGUAGAGACCCGAAAGAUGGUGAACUAUGCUUGUGCAGGUUGAAGCCAGAGGAAACUCUGGUGGAGGACCGCCGCGGUUCUGACGUGCAAAUCGAUCGUCGGACAUGAGUAUAGGGGCGAAAGACUAAUCGAACCAUCUAGUAGCUGGUUCCCUCCGAAGUUUCCCUCAGGAUAGCUGACAUUUGUUGUUGUAGUUUUACCCGGUAAAGCGAAUGAUUAGAAGUAUUGGGGGUGAAAUGCCCUCAACUUAUUCUCAAACUUUAAAUGGGUUCGAAGUGUGUCUUUCUUCAUUGAAGAUGUGCAUCGAAUACAAGUGUCUAGUGGGCCAUUUUUGGUAAGCAGAACUGGCGAUGUGGGAUGAACCAAACAUCUGGUUAAGGUGCCUAACAUAACGCUCAUGAGAACC